UACGAGGGGGGCAAAUGUUGUUCGGAAUCACUGGGCGUAAAGCGUGCGCAGGCGGUGAUGUAAGACAGUUGUGAAAUCCCCGGGCUCAACCUGGGAACUGCAUCUGUGACUGCAUUGCUGGAGUGCGGCAGAGGGGGAUGGAAUUCCGCGUGUAGCAGUGAAAUGCGUAGAUAUGCGGAGGAACACCGAUGGCGAAGGCAAUCCCCUGGGCCUGCACUGACGCUCAUGCACGAAAGCGUGGGGAGCAAACAGG
rnacentral:rRNA from 1 species